rnacentral:lncRNA from 1 species
AUAAUUAGUAAAUACAAAAUAAAUAGGGUGAAAAAAAUGAGAAAAAAGAAUUACAUUAUCUUAGCGUAAACAGUUUCCAAGAGAAUUCUAAAGAUUAUCAACUUACCUAAAUCAUAUAACUGCUAAAGCCUAACAGAACGAAAAAAUAAGAAAAAAUAUUUGACUAACUAAUCACUCAAGCUGAAAGUGAUCACGGUUGGUGAAUGAUUAUCGCAGAAAGAUAUAACCCUUCGACGAAAACUAGGGACGCUGACAAAUGCUUCGUCGAAGCAAUUCUCGGAAAGUCUUGAAACGGCGUGGCAACAAUUUGCAUGUAAUGUUAAGUUUUUUGCAAAGAAAGAAGAUAUGAGGUCUUCUAUGCAACCAUCCACAUUUAUCAAAGCUGACGUGCAAUCACUAGGAUCUGCUGGUGGUGUAUUUCCUGGCUUGUGAUGGACUGCUGAUUGUGGAGGCGGAGAUGGCUGAGUUACUGGUGGGUGGUGAUGGUUGUUAUGGCCGCGGAGGUAAUGGCGGUGGUGGUGAUGGUGGUUGGCUAACACGCCAUUGAAACAUGUGAACAGGCAUAUAAGAAACAACAAAACCAAGAAUCUGCUUUUCGUCAUCAUCGAAAUUCUAUGCAAAUCCAUC